rnacentral:rRNA from 1 species
UACGUAGGCGGCUUUUUAAGUCGGAUGUGAAAGCCCCGGGCUUAACCUGGGAAUUGCAUUCGAUACUGGAAGGCUUGAAUCUGGCAGAGGCUAGCGGAAUUCCUGGUGUAGCGGUGAAAUGCGUAGAUAUCAGGAGGAACAUCAGUGGCGAAGGCGGCUAGCUGGGUCAAGAUUGACGCUCAUGUACGAAAGCGUGGGGAGCAAACA